rnacentral:rRNA from 1 species
AUUGAACGCUGGCGGCAGGCUUAACACAUGCAAGUCGAGCGGAGAGAGGUAGCUUGCUACUGAUCUUAGCGGCGGACGGGUGAGUAAUGCUUAGGAAUCUGCCUAUUAGUGGGGGACAACAUUUCGAAAGGAAUGCUAAUACCGCAUACGUCCUACGGGAGAAAGCAGGGGAUCUUCGGACCUUGCGCUAAUAGAUGAGCCUAAGUCGGAUUAGCUAGUUGGUGGGGUAAAGGCCUACCAAGGCGACGAUCUGUAGCGGGUCUGAGAGGAUGAUCCGCCACACUGGGACUGAGACACGGCCCAGACUCCUACGGGAGGCAGCAGUGGGGAAUAUUGGACAAUGGGCGCAAGCCUGAUCCAGCCAUGCCGCGUGUGUGAAGAAGGCCUUAUGGUUGUAAAGCACUUUAAGCGAGGAGGAGGCUACUUUAGUUAAUACCUAGAGAUAGUGGACGUUACUCGCAGAAUAAGCACCGGCUAACUCUGUGCCAGCAGCCGCGGUAAUACAGAGGGUGCAAGCGUUAAUCGGAUUUACUGGGCGUAAAGCGCGCGUAGGCGGCUAAUUAAGUCAAAUGUGAAAUCCCCGAGCUUAACUUGGGAAUUGCAUUCGAUACUGGUUAGCUAGAGUGUGGGAGAGGAUGGUAGAAUUCCAGGUGUAGCGGUGAAAUGCGUAGAGAUCUGGAGGAAUACCGAUGGCGAAGGCAGCCAUCUGGCCUAACACUGACGCUGAGGUGCGAAAGCAUGGGGAGCAAACAGGAUUAGAUACCCUGGUAGUCCAUGCCGUAAACGAUGUCUACUAGCCGUUGGGGCCUUUGAGGCUUUAGUGGCGCAGCUAACGCGAUAAGUAGACCGCCUGGGGAGUACGGUCGCAAGACUAAAACUCAAAUGAAUUGACGGGGGCCCGCACAAGCGGUGGAGCAUGUGGUUUAAUUCGAUGCAACGCGAAGAACCUUACCUGGCCUUGACAUAGUAAGAACUUUCCAGAGAUGGAUUGGUGCCUUCGGGAACUUACAUACAGGUGCUGCAUGGCUGUCGUCAGCUCGUGUCGUGAGAUGUUGGGUUAAGUCCCGCAACGAGCGCAACCCUUUUCCUUAUUUGCCAGCGAGUAAUGUCGGGAACUUUAAGGAUACUGCCAGUGACAAACUGGAGGAAGGCGGGGACGACGUCAAGUCAUCAUGGCCCUUACGGCCAGGGCUACACACGUGCUACAAUGGUCGGUACAAAGGGUUGCUACCUAGCGAUAGGAUGCUAAUCUCAAAAAGCCGAUCGUAGUCCGGAUUGGAGUCUGCAACUCGACUCCAUGAAGUCGGAAUCGCUAGCAAUCGCGGAUCAGAAUGCCGCGGUGAAUACGUUCCCGGGCCU